rnacentral:rRNA from 1 species
CUAGCGACUUCAGAGUUUGAUCCUGGCUCAGGAUGAACGCUAGCGGCAGGCCUAACACAUGCAAGUCGAGGGGCAGCACAAAAGUAGCUUGCUACUUUUGGUGGCGACCGGCGCACGGGUGCGUAACGCGUAUGCAACCUACCCAUAACAGGGGGAUAACACUGAGAAAUUGGUACUAAUACCCCAUAAUAUCAUUGAUGGCAUCAUUGAUGGUUGAAAACUCCGGUGGUUAUGGAUGGGCAUGCGUUGUAUUAGCUAGUUGGUGAGGUAACGGCUCACCAAGGCGACGAUACAUAGGGGGACUGAGAGGUUAACCCCCCACAUUGGUACUGAGACACGGACCAA